CCUACGGGUGGCAGCAGUGGGGAAUAUUGCACAAUGGGGGAAACCCUGAUGCAGCGACGCCGCGUGAGUGAAGAAGUAUUUCGGUACGUAAAGCUCUAUCAGCAGGGAAGAAAAUGACGGUACCUGACUAAGAACCCGCGGCUAACUACGUGCCAGCGGCCGCGGUAAUACGUAGGGGGCAAGCGUUAUCCGGAUUUGCUGGGGGUAAAGGGGGCGUAGACGGCAGCGCAAGUCUGAAGUGAAAGCCCAUGGCUUAACCAUGGAACUGCUUUGGAAACUGGGCAGCUGGAGUGCAGGAGAGGUAAGCGGAAUUCGUGGUGUAGCGGUGAAAUGCGUAGAUAUUAGGAGGAACACCAGUGGCGAAGGCGGCUUACUGGACUGUAACUGACGUUGAGGCUCGAAAGCGUGGGGAGCAAACAGGAUUAGAUACCCGUGUAGUC
rnacentral:rRNA from 1 species